rnacentral:lncRNA from 1 species
AGUGGAGCUUGCAGGCUGGAGCUCCGGCGCUUCCUUUCCCUGAGCUAAAACGACUGGGUCCUGGGAUCUGGCCUCUAGCUCGCCUGCCGAGCUCUUUCCAGGCAAAGGUUGGAGACCGCCGAAGUGCCGGCCUCGCGGUGCGCUGUCUGGCAGGGCCCGGGGCCACAGAAGGAAAACAUGUCUGUGGAAUGUGGAAAUGCGGGACUCUACCGGGCCCGUUUAGAGAGCACAGAAAAACAUGGGGGAAAGGGAGAGGCGAGAAGCCCAGAAAAUUACCCUAGGUCUCAGAUAUGGAUGUGUCGACCUAAAAGGAAGAAGACUCUGGGGCAAAAUAAAUGCAAGCAGAGAGUUUAUUUGGGCCAAGCUUGAGGAUUGCACCCCAGGAGCAUAGAUUCAAGUUGCCUUGAAUAUAUACACUGAUUAGCAGAAGGUACAAGUGGAUUUUUUUUCUUUUUUUUUGAGACGGAGUUUCACUCUUGUCGCCCAGGCUGAAGUGCAGUGGCGCGAUCUCGACUCACUGCAACCUCCGCCUCCAAGGUUCAAGCGAUUCUCCUGUCUCAGCGUCCCCAGUAGCUGGGAUUACAUGGGCGCGCCACCAUGCCCUGAUAAUUUUUGUGUUUAUAGUAGAGACGGGGUUUCGCCAUGUUGGCCAGGCUAGUCUCGAACUCCUGACCUCAGGCGAUCCACCCGCCUCUGCCUCCCAAAGUGCUGAGAUUACAGGCUUGAGCCACCGCGCCCGGCCCUUUUCUUUUUUUCUUUUUGAAACGGAGUCUCGCUCUUUUGCCCAGGCAGGAGUGCCGUGGCACAAUCUCAAGCUCACUGCAACCUCUGCCUCCAGGGUUCAAGCGAUUCUCCUGCCUCAGCCUCCCAAUUAGGUGGGAUUACAGGCGCCCGCCACCACACCUGGCUAAUUUUUUCUUUUUCUUUUUCUUUUUUUUGAAAUGGAGUUUCGCUCUGUCGCCCAGACUGGAGUGCCGUGGCGCGAUCUCAGCUCACUGCAACUUCUGCCUCCUGGGUUCAAGCGAUUCUCCUGCGUCAGCCUCCAGAGUAGCCGGGAUUACGGGCGCCCGCCACCACGCCCAGCUAAUUUUUGUAUUUUUUUUAGUAGUGACGAGGUUUCACCACAUUG